UACGUAGGGGGCAAGCGUUGUCCGGAAUCAUUGGGCGUAAAGAGCGCGUAGGCGGCCCUGUAAGUCCGCUGUGAAAGUCAACGGCUCAACUGUUGGAUGCCGGUGGAUACUGUCGGGCUAGAGUACGGAAGAGGCAAGUGGAAUUCCUGGUGUAGCGGUGGAAUGCGCAGAUAUCAGGAGGAACACCUAUAGCGAAGGCAGCUUGCUGGGACGUUACUGACGCUAAGGCGCGAAAGCGUGGGGAGCGAACAGG
rnacentral:rRNA from 1 species